rnacentral:rRNA from 1 species
AGUGAACGCUGGCGGUAGGCCUAACACAUGCAAGUCGAACGGCAGCACAGUAAGAGCUUGCUCUUACGGGUGGCGAGUGGCGGACGGGUGAGGAAUACAUCGGAAUCUACUUUUUCGUGGGGGAUAACGUAGGGAAACUUACGCUAAUACCGCAUACGACCUACGGGUGAAAGCAGGGGAUUUUCGGACCUUGCGCGAUUGAAUGAGCCGAUGUCGGAUUAGCUAGUUGGCGGGGUAAAGGCCCACCAAGGCGACGAUCCGUAGCUGGUCUGAGAGGAUGAUCAGCCACACUGGAACUGAGACACGGUCCAGACUCCUACGGGAGGCAGCAGUGGGGAAUAUUGGACAAUGGGCGCAAGCCUGAUCCAGCCAUACCGCGUGGGUGAAGAAGGCCUUCGGGUUGGAAAGCCCUUUUGUUGGUAAAGAAAAGCAGCAGGUUAAUACCGCGCUGUUCUGACGGUACCCAAAGAAUAAGCACCGGCUAACUUCGUG